UACGGAGGGGACUAGCGUUGUUCGGAAUUACUGGGCGUAAAGCGCACGUAGGCGGAUUUGUAAGUCAGGGGUGAAAUCCCGGGGCUCAACCUCGGAACUGCCUUUGAUACUGCAAAUCUCGAGUCCGGAAGAGGCGAGUGGAAUUCCCGGUGUAGCGGUGAAAUGCGCAGAUAUCGGGAGGAACACCAAUGGCGAAGGCGGCACUCUGGGCCAGUACUGACACUGAGGAGCGAAAGCGUGGGGAGCGAACAGG
rnacentral:rRNA from 1 species